GCUAUGGCUGUGUACGGAGUGUCCAGAAAAGCGCUAUAUAAGUGGAACGCGGCCUCCGUUCUUCUAGUUCAGAACACGGAGACACAUCCGACUGUAAAUCCUGACUGCAAGCAGACACCAGGACAGCAACACAAGAGCAGGCCUGUAGGGGUAGCAGAGUACCAGGCGAGAACCUAGUAUGGCCUUGAAGUUGAUCAUGUGUGGGUAUAUUUCCAGCAUGGCUUAAGUGUCACAAAAAGAACACAUUUAAUACAAUUGUAGCAAAAAGAUUUUAUUUGUUUUCCCCUUCUUUUCAGCAAAAAUUAUAGUAUUAAAAGUAUAGGCAUUGUACAUUG